rnacentral:lncRNA from 1 species
GGCACUGGGCAGCACUGGUUGCCGCAGGGCAGCCCCCCCCCCAGCAGCCGCCCCCGCCGCAGCGUGUCUGGUCGGUGACUCACGGCCGGGCCGGGGGCCACACGUGUGCCGAGCGCGGGGCUCAGCACGGCCACGUGGCCCAACCCGGUCACCGUGGGGCCCGGGGAGCCUGCGGGAUCCUGCCGGGGCCUGGCGCGGUGCUGGGCCGGUAGGAACGGGGCACGCGGUGCCGUGAGGCCUGUCCGAAGUGGCUCUGGGUGACGGGGACAGCCCGGUGCCACACGCUCGGUGGCCUUGGCGUGGCCGUGCCGUGCCCGUGCGGUGCCGGUGCUGGGUCCCGUGCCGGUGCCGCGCUGGUUCCUGCACAGAGCUGGUGCCGAGGCAGUGCCAGGGCCAACCGGUGCUGGUGCUGCACGGUGCCAACACCGGUGCCGAGGCAGCACGGCUCCUGCGUGGUGCCAGUGCCAUGCCGUGCCAACGGUGUGAGUGCCGGCUGUGGGGCCAGGAGGUGCCAAUACGGUGCCGGUGCCGGUGCCGUGCGGAGCCAAAGCAGUGCCGUGCCCACGCAGUGCCAGUGCCGGUGCCACACAGUGCCAGUGCCGUGCCAAUGCGGUGCCAACUCCGUGCUGGUGCUGUGUGGUGCCGGUGUGGUGCCGUGCCGUCCCAGCGCGGUGCCGGUGCCGUUCCCGUGCCAAGGUGAUGCCAACACGGUGCCGGUGCCGUGCCAACGCAGUGCCAACUCAGUGCCAACGAGGUGCUGUUGCCAUUCCCGUGCCAUGCUGUGCCGUGCCAACGCGGUGCCGGUGCCAUUCCCGUGCCAAGGUGAUGCCAACGCGGUGCCGGUGCCGGUGCCAUCCCCGUGCCAACGCGGUGCCAACGCGGUGCCGGUGCCGUUCCCGCCCCCCCCCCCAACCCUCCCCAAAUCCCCUCCCGGUGCCGCCCCCAGCCCGCCCCCGCCCCUCCCCUGCCCUCCCCCGGUGCUCGGCGGGGCCGUGCCGGUGCUCGGCGGCGGCGGCGGCGGCGAUGGCGCUGUCGGGGCCGCCCCGUUCCUGCCUCCUGCUGGCGGCCGCGCUGCUGCUGCCGCUGCCCGGGGCCGCCCCGGACCCCGCCGCGCCCGCGCUCACCGACGCCGAGAUCGAGGCGUUCCUCAGGGGCUUCCUCGGGCCCGACGGGGACCGCGACGGCGACGGCGACGGGGACGGGGACGGGGAUGGCACCGAGCCGGGCUUCGCCACCGAGCAGGGCACCGGCACCGGGCUGAGCACCGACCCUCCGGGGCGGCUGCCGGAGCCCGAGGCACCCAAGAAGGGCCGGAAGGAAAAAGCCCCAAAACCCACCAAAAAGCCCAAGGACAAGCCCCCCAAGAAGCCCAAGGAGAAGCCACCCAAGGAGAAGCCACCCAAGGCCACCAAGAAGCCCUCGGGCACGAGGCCCCCGGAGCCACCGGACACCCCCUGGGAGCCCCCCGUGGCCCCGCACCCCCCGCGGGGCGAGGACAGAGAGGGGACGUCCCUGUCCCCAGGGCAGCCGCGGGUCCCUGAGGAGGAGGAGGAGGAUGGCAGAGACCGAGGCGGGCUGGAGGAGCUGCCGACGGAGCGCUGGGAGCUGGGGGGGGAGGACUGGCACCCCCCUCCCGAGGCUGAGGUCCCCGCGGAGCCGGAGCCGCCGACGCUGGACUACAACGAGCAGCUGGAGCGGGAGGACUACGAGGACUUCGAGUACAUUCGGCGGCAGCAGAAACCCCGCAAGCCCCCCAGCAGGAAGAAACCCGAGCGAGUCUGGCCCCAGCCGGAGACGCCACCACGUCAG